AUUUUUAUAGUUGAACUUACAACAAUAACUUUUCACGUUACAAGUUUGGGUUAAAACCCCAAUAAAAG
rnacentral:tRNA from 1 species